rnacentral:rRNA from 1 species
UACGUAGGGAGCAAGCGUUUGUCCGGAAUCAUUGGGCGUAAAGCGCGCGUAGGUGGCUUCGUAAGUCCGCUGUGAAAGUCAAAGGCUCAACCUUUGAAAGCCGGUGGAUACUGCGGAGCUAGAGUCCGGAAGAGGCGAGUGGAAUUCCUGGUGUAGCGGUGGAAUGCGCAGAUAUCAGGAGGAACACCAAUAGCGAAGGCAGCUCGCUGGGACGGUACUGACACUGAGGCGCGAAAGCGUGGGGAGCGAACAGG